CAAAUUGUUCAAACAAUUAAACAAAGAAUUCUGUUUCCCUCGUUAGGUCCCUGGAUUGCAGUGCAGAAAUCUUCUUGUGAAAAUACGGUCCAAAUAUUUGAAAUGGAAAUCCAAGUUAAAUCAAAAAGGGGUGGAGAAAUUCAGGAUAUGCCAUAUCUAACCUCCAGAGGAACUGAAGAAUAAAGCUCAUGUAUGAUCCAGAUGCUCUAUGAUCCAGAUGCUUCAGAGAUAUCA